rnacentral:lncRNA from 1 species
CAGCCAUUUGGUGUGUCUCAGAAAAUCCCGCUCAGUUCCGAGGCCCCCUAGAUGUGGAAUCCUGCUCAGAGUUGUUCCCAGGUCAGAGAAUGGAGAGAGCCUGUGCAUGAUGGGAUAUCCCUGCCUAGAUCUUUCAGUGAGUCUCUACCUCAGCUACUCUUAGGAUCAGGGGGAGAACCACGGUGUCAGACAUCCGGAAAGAAGACGGGAUGAAUGUUUUACCUCUGAAAUGCAUCCCAAAUGUGGGAGUUGACUUCAGCUUUGCUGGGGUCUAUCUGGCCAGUGAAACUCUGCCUGGUUCAUUCGCACAUCCGGAAGCCACUUCACGGGGGGCCGUCGCAACUGGAACCACACACUUGGCAUCGGCGGUUGAGCCAAAUGGGGACUCGUGGUGCAAGCAACGCUCCCCACGUGUUAGCGUGGGUGAGAUUCGGUUGGCGGAAUUUUACUAGGUGCGUGUUAGUAGAGUGGGGCUGAGGUUUUCUUGCUCCUGUGGUUGUAUACGAAGUCAAAGGUCCUGCCCAGCCCUGCGGUCCCCUCAGUCAACUCGGUUUCGGAGACAUAACGAUUUGGAUUGCCAACAAGUCAAGAAAUGUUCAAGCCCUUGGAUGUAGGGUAAAGAAAGGGAGAUCAGACUGUCACUGUGUCUAUGUAGAAGGGGAAGACAUAAGAGACUCCAUUUUGAAAAAGAUCUGUACUUUAAACAAUUGCUUUGCUGAGAUGUUGAUCAUUUGUAGCUUUGCCGCGGCCCCUUUGACCCAACUUGGAGCUCACCAAAACCUGUGUUGUAUAAAAUCGAGGCUUAAGGGAUCUAGGGCUGUGCAGGGCGUGCCUUGUUAACCAAAUGUUUACGAGCAGUAUACUUGGUAAAAGUCAUUGCCAUUCUCUAGUCUCAAUAAACCAGGGGCACAAUGCACCGUGGAAAGCCACAGGGACCUCUGCCCCUGAAAGCAGGUUAUUUUCCAAAGUUCCUCCCCUUUUGACAUUCUGAAAUAUGGCCUCGUAGAAUGGGAAAAACCUGACUCGCCCCCAGCCUGACACCCGUGAAGGUUCUGUGCUGAGGUGGAUUCGUCAAAGAGGAAAGCCUCUUGCAGUUGAGAUGGAGGACCGCCACUGUCUCCUGCAGCCC